UGCCCAGCGCCUAGGUAUGUACCCACAGC
rnacentral:piRNA from 1 species